rnacentral:rRNA from 1 species
CCCUUAGAUGUCCUGGGCCGCACGCGCGCUACACUGACGGAGGCAGCGAGCAUGUCCUUCGCCGAGAGGUGUGGGGAAUCUUGUGAGUCUCCGUCGUGCUGGGGAUAGAUGGUUGCAAUUGUCGAUCUUGAACGAGGAAUUCCUAGUAAGCGCGAGUCAUCAGCUCGCGCUGAUUACGUCCCUGCCCUUUGUACACACCGCCCGUCGCUACUACCGAUUGGAUGGUUUAGCGAGAGCCUUGGAUUGGAGCCCAGGUGGUCGGCAACGGCCGCUCGGGAUUCCGAGAAAUUGUUCCAGCUGACUCAUCUAGAGGAAGUAAAAGUCGUAACA